rnacentral:lncRNA from 1 species
UUCUUAUCCACCACCAGCCGCCGCCACGGCCAGGCCGGCGUGGUGGUGCGCCUCCGCGCGCCACCAGCACCUCCACCAUCACCCUGCGCUUCCCAUCAAUCCAUCAUCCAACCCGCCAGCACCAACAUCCACCACGCACCACCACAACCAACCACACCAUCCGUCGGCGCCGCCAGCCACGACCAUCUCCUUCCACCCAGCGCCAGCAACCUCCAUCCACCAGUGCAACCGCGCCUCCUCUCCCUGUUGCUUCCCCUUGCUACUCACACCUCCUCUCCCUGCUGCUUCCCCUUGCUACUCACGCCCUGGACCAGACAAGGGGAUCAUGGAGUCUGAUCCCUAGCGAACUUCCCUACUGCUGCGCCUUUACCUUCAACCUACUGCUGCUCUUCUUUCCCCAUGCCUCCGCUGCUCCUUCUCCAUCUCCGUGCUGCUUCUCUCUUCUUUCCUCACGCCUCUGCUACAAGCUGCUGCUCCUUCUCUGAACCAACUGCUGGCUGGUAUUACUUCUCCCCAAAUCUGCCGCUGCUCCUCUUCUUUUGCUGCACCUUUUCUCAAACGCCCCUGCUGCUCCUAAUCUGAACCAUAAACUGUUGCUAUCUCUCUUUGCCGUCUCCAUAUUCUCUGAAUUUCUGUAAUAGGAGAUGUGUAAUGCAUGUCAUAUAUCUUGUUUACUAUAUAAUAUUUGAAAUUUCUAUAAUUUGAGAAGUAAGAAGACUUGUAAUAUUUCAUAUUUUGAUAAGUGUUUGCAACCAACUUAUUUGUUCAGUUUCAUACCUGUAUAAUAAAGACUUGUUUUGUUGGAUCUGACUAGUUGAGGCCUUGUUAAUUAGGGAGAUAAUUGAUCUAUUAGAAUUUGCUUCUGUGUAUUUCUAUUUUGCUAGCAUAUUAUUGUGUUCACCCCUGUGUAUUUGUUCCUUAUUGCAGAAAUUUAUUCAGUUCUCCAUGUGUUAGCUCCAGUACAUGUGCUAUAUAAAUAUGAGUGUGUUUGUGAUGUGAAAAAUCUAUCUUCUAUCCUAUAUUCAUGUUUCUUCCCUCUUUCAUACGCUUGUUAGAUACAUAUAUGUGUUCAUAUCCUGCUGUUUCCUUUGUGUUAGCAUUUUAGUUUCUCAAGUAAUAGGAAACCACCAAAAAAAGACAAUAUAGACAAUCUGAACCUCCCCUUUGCUUAUUUUACAUUUUCUUUGGCGAUGAUCUUCGGGAACUACCUUGUUUAGUUUAGGUUUAUUUUCUUGCAUUUAUAAUCUGAGUUGUGUUACCUAGCUUUAUCUAAGCACGAUCAUUGACUUUCCAAGUCCCUGUGGAGAACACGACACUCGCAGUUUGGGCGUAAAAACCCCACUACACUUCAAUUCAUCAUUUUGGCGCCGUUGCCGGGGACUAGUUGUUGGGGAACGUUGCAGAAAACAAAAAUUUUCCUACUUGUUUCACCAAGAUCAUCUAGGAGUUCAUCUAGCAACGAGUGAUUAGAUGCAUCUACAUACCUUUGUAGAUCGCGAGCGGAAGCGUUCAAAAGAACGGUGACGAUGUAGUCGUACUCGACGUGAUCCAAAUCACAGAUGACCAGCGCCGAACGGACGGCACCUCCGCGUUCAACACACGUACGGAACAGCCACGUCUCCUCCUUCUUGAUCCAGCAAGGGAGGGAGGAGAGGUUGAGGGAGAUGGCACCAGCAGCAGCACGACGGCGUGGUGUUGAUGGAGCUGCAGUACUCCGGCAGAGCUUCGCUAAGCACUAUGGAGGUGGAGGAGGUGUUGGGAGGGAGAAGGAGGCAACCAAAGGCCAAGGCGUUCAGGUAUGAAGUCCCUCCUCUCCCCCACUAUAUAUAGGAGGGCCAAGGGGGGGUGGCCGGCCCUAGGAGAUCCAAUCUCCUAGGGGGUGCGGCGGCCAAGGCGGGUUUCCCUCCCCCCCCAAGGCACCUAGGAGGUGCCAUCCCCUCCUAGGACUCUUUCCCCCUUAAACCCUAGGCGCAUGGGCCUAUGUGGGGCUGGUGCCCUUGGCCCAUGUAGGCCAAGGCGCACCCCCUACAGACCAUGUGGCCCCCCGGGACAGGUGGACCCACCCGGUGGACCCCCGGGACCCUUCCGGUGGUCCCGGUACAAUACCGAUAACCCCGAAACUUGUCCCGAUGCCCGAAACAGGAUUUCCCAUAUAUAAAUCUUUACAUCCGGACCAUUCCGGAACUCCUCGUGACGUCCGGGAUCUCAUCCGGGACUCCGAACAAUAUUCGGGUUACUGCAUAUACAUAUCCCUACAACCCUAGCGUAACUGAACCUUAAGUGUGUAGACCCUACGGGUUCGGGAGACAAGCAUACAUGACCGAGACGACUCUCCGGUCAAUAACCAACAGCGGGAUCUGGAUACCCAUGUUGGCUCCCACAUGCUCCACGAUGAUCUCAUCGGAUGAACCACGAUGUCGAGGAUUCUAUCAACCCCGUACGCUAUUCCCUUUGUCUAUCGAUAUGUUACUUGCCCGAGAUUCGAUCGUCGGUAUCCCAAUACCUCGUUCAAUCUUGUUACCGGCAAGUCACUUUACUCAUACCGUAAUGCAUGAUCCCGUGACCAGACACUUGGUCACUCUGAGCUCAUUAUGAUGAUGCAUUACCGAGUGGGCCCAGUGAUACCUCUCCGUCAUACAAAGUGACAAAUCCCAGUCUUGAUCCAUGUCACCCAACAGACACUUUCGGAGAUACCCGUAGUCUACCUUUAUAGUCACCCAGUUACGUUGUGACGUUUGGCAUACCCAAAGCACUCUUACGGUAUCCGGGAGUUACACGAUCUCAUGGUCUAAGGAAAAGAUACUUGACAUUGGAAAACUCUAGCAAACGAACUAUACGAUCUUGUGCUAUGUUUAGGAUUGGGUCUUGUCCAUCACAUCAUUCUCCUAAUGAUGUGAUCUCGUUAUCAAUGACAUCCAGUGUCCAUAGUCAGGAAACCAUGACUAUCUGUUGAUCAACGAGCUAGUCAACUAGAGGCUCACUAGGGACAUGUUGAUGUCUGUUAUUCACACAUGUAUUACGAUUUCCGGAUAACACAAUUAUAGCAUGAAUAAAGACAAUUAUCAUGAACAAGGAAAUAUAAUAAUAAUGCUUUUAUUAUUGCCUCUAGGGCAUAUUUCCAACAGUCUCCCACUUGCACUAGAGUCAAUAAUCUAGUUACAUUGUGAUGAAUCGAACACCCAUGGAAUUCUGGUGUUGAUCAUGUUUUGCUCUAGGGAGAGGUUUAGUCAACGGAUCUGCUACAUUUAGGUCCGUAUGUACUUUACAAAUCUCUAUGUCUCCAUCUUGAACAUUUUCACGAAUGGAGUUGAAGCGACGCUUGAUGUGCCUUGUCUUCUUGUGAAACCUGGGCUCCUUGGCAAGUGCAAUAGCUCCAGUGUUGUCACAGAAGAGCUUGAUCGGCCCCGACGCAUUGGGUAUGACUCCUAGGUCGGUGAUGAACUCCUUCACCCAUACUGCUUCAUGUGCUGCCUCCGAGGCUGCCAUGUACCCCGCUUCACAUGUAGAUCCCGCCACGACGCUUUGCUUGCAACUGCACCAGCUUACUGCCCCACCAUUCAAAAUAUACACGUAUCCGGUUUGUGACUUAGAGUCAUCCAGAUCUGUGUCGAAGCUAGCGUCGACGUAACCCUUUACGACGAGCUCUUCGUCACCUCCAUAAACGAGAAACAUUUCCUUAGUCCUUUUCAGGUACUUCAGGAUAUUCUUGACCGCUGUCCAGUGUUCCUUGCCGGGAUUACUUUGGUACCUUCCUACCAAACUUACGGCAAGGUUUACAUCAGGUCUGGUACACAGCAUAGCAUACAUAAUAGAACCUAUGGCUGAGGCAUAGGGGAUGACGCUCAUCUCUUCUAUAUCUUCUGCCGUGGUCGGACAUUGAGCUGAGCUCAAUUUCAUACCUUGCAACACAGGCAAGAACCCCUUCUUGGAUUGAUCCAUAUUGAACUUCUUCAAUAUCUUAUCAAGGUAUGUGCUUUGUGAAAGACCCAUGAGGCGUCUCGAUCUAUCUCUAUAGAUUUUGAUGCCUAAUAUAUAAGCAGCUUCUCCAAGGUCCUUCAUUGAAAAACUUUUAUUCAAGUAGGCCUUGAUGCUGUCCAAGAGUUCUAUAUCAUUUCCCAUCAAAAGUAUGUCAUCUACAUAUAAUAUGAGAAAUGCUACAGAGCUCCCACUCACUUUCUUGUAAACGCAGGCUUCUCCAUAAGUCUGUGUAAACCCAAACGCUUUGAUCAUCUCAUCAAAGCGAAUGUUCCAACUCCGAGAUGCUUGCACCAGCCCAUAAAUCGAGCGUUGGAGCUUGCACACUUUGUCAGCAUUCUUAGGAUCGACAAAACCUUCCGGCUGUAUCAUAUACAAUUCUUCCUUAAGGAAACCAUUAAGGAAUGCCGUUUUGACGUCCAUUUGCCAUAUUUCGUAAUGCGGCAAUUGCUAACAUGAUUCGGACGGACUUCAGCUUCGCUACCGGUGAGAAAGUCUCAUCGUAGUCAACCCCUUGAACUUGUCGAUAACCCUUAGCGACAAGCCGAGCUUUAUAGAUGGUCACAUUACCAUCCGCGUCUGUCUUCUUCUUAAAGAUCCAUUUAUUUUCUAUGGCUCGCCGCUCAACGGGCAAGUCAGUCAAAGUCCAUACUUUGUUUUCAUACAUGGAUCCUAUCUCGGAUUUCAUGGCUUCCAGCCAUUUGUCGGAAUCCGGGCCCGCCAUCGCUUCUUCAUAGUUCGAAGGUUCACGAUUGUCUAACAGCAUGAUUUCCAAGACAGGGUUGCCGUACCACUCUGGUGCGGAACGUGUCCUUGUGGACCUUCGAAUUUCAGUAGGGGCUUGAUCAGAAGUAUCUUGAUCAUUUUCAUUAACUUCCUCUCUAGUCGGUGCAGGCACCUCAGGAACAUUUUCUUGAGUUGCGCCAUUUUCCGGUUCAAGAGGUAAUACUUCAUCAAGCUCUACUUUCCUCCCACUUACUUCUUUCGAGAGAAACUCUUUCUCCAGAAAGGACCCAUUCUUGGCAACAAAGAUCUUGCCUUCGGAUCUGAGGUAGAAGGUGUACCCAAUAGUUUCUUUUGGGUAUCCUAUGAAGACGCAUUUUUCCGACUUGGGUUCGAGCUUUUCAGGUUGAAGUUUCUUGACAUAAGCAUCGCAUCCCCAAACUUUUAGAAACGACAGCUUAGGUUUCUUCCCAAACCAUAAUUCAUACGGUGUCGUCUCAACGGAUUUCGACGGAGCCCUAUUUAAAGUGAAUGCGGCAGUCUCUAAAGCAUAGCCCCAAAAAGAAAGCGGUAAAUCGGUAAGAGACAUCAUAGAUCGCACCAUAUCUAACAGAGUGCGAUUACGACAUUCGGACACACCAUUACGCUGAGGUGUUCCAGGCGGCGUGAGUUGUGAAACUAUUCCACAUUUUCUUAAGUGUGCCCCAAACUCGUGACUCAAGUAUUCUCCUCCACGAUCUGAUCGUAGAAACUUGAUUUUCCUGUCACGUUGAUUUUCAACCUCACUCUGAAAUUCCUUGAACUUUUCAAAGGUUUUAGACUUGUGUUUCAUUAAGUAGAUAUACCCAUACCUACUUAAAUCAUCAGUGAGGGUGAGAACAUAACGAUAGCCACCGCGAGCCUCAACACUCAUUGGACCGCACACAUCAGUAUGUAUGAUUUCCUAUAAGUCGGUUGCUCGCUCCAUUGUUCCUGAGAACGGAGUCUUGGUCAUUUUACCCAUAAGGCAUGGUUCGCAUGUGUCAAAUGAUUCAUAAUCAAGAGACUCUAAAAGUCCAUCAGCAUGGAGCUUCUUCAUGCGUUUGACACCUAUGUGACCAAGGCGGCAGUGCCACAGGUAUGUGGGACUAUCAUUAUCAACCUUACUUCUUUUGGUACUCACACUAUGAACAUGUGUAGCAUCAUGUUCGAGAUUCAUAAAGAACAAACCAUUCACCAUAGGAGCAUGACCAUAAAACAUAUCUCUCAUAAAAAUGGAACAACCAUUAUUCUCAGAUUUAAAAGAGUAGCCAUCUCGAAUUAAACGAGAUCCUGAUACAAUGUUCAUGCUCAAAGCUGGCACUAAAUAACAAUUAUUAAGGUUUAAAACUAAUCCCGAAGGGAGAUGCAGAGGUAGCGUGCCGACGGCGAUCACAUUGACCUUGGAACCAUUCCCGACGCGCAUCGUCACCUCGUCCUUUGCCAGUUUCCGCUUACUCCGCAGCCCCUGCUUUGAGUUACAAAUGUGAGCAACUGCACCGGUAUCAAAUACCCAGGAGCCACUACGGGCACUAGUAAGGUACACAUCAAUUACAUGUAUAUCACAUAUACCUUUCGUUUUGCCGGCCUUCUUAUCCGCUAAGUACUUAGGGCAGUUCCGCUUCCAGUGACCGCUUCCCUUGCAAUAAAAGCACUCAGUCUCGGGCUUGGGUCCAUUCUUUGGCUUCUUCCCGGCAGCUUGCUUGCCGGGCGCGGCAACCUCCUUGCCGUCCUUCUUGAAGUUCUUUUUACCCUUGCCUUUCUUGAACUUAGUGGUUUUACUGACGAUCAACACUUGAUGUUCCUUCCUGACUUCUACCUCUGCUGAUUUCAGCAUAGCAAAUACUUCAGGAAUGGUCUUUUCCAUCCCCUGCAUAUUGAAGUUCAUCACAAAGCUCUUGUAGCUUGGUGGAAGCGACUGGAGGAUUCUGUCAAUGACCGCAUCAUCCGGGAGAUUAACUCCCAGCUGAGUCAAGCGGUUAUGCAACCCAGACAUAGUGAGUAUGUGCUCACUGACAGAACUGUUUUCCUCCAUCUUACAGCUGAAGAAUUUGUCGAAGACUUCAUAUCUCUCGACCCGGGCAUGAGCUUGGAAAACCAUUUUCAGCUCUUCGAACAUCUCAUAUGCUCCAUGUCUCUCAAAACGCUUUUGGAGCCCUGGCUCUAGGCUGUAAAGCAUGCCGCACUGAACAAGGGAGUAGUCAUCGAAACGUGCCUGCCAAGCGUUCAUAACAUCUUGUUCUGCAGGGAGAACGGGUGCGUCACCAAGCGGUGCUUGUAGGACAUAAUCUUUCUUGGCAGCUAUGAGGAUGAUCCUCAGGUUCCGGACCCAGUCCGUAUAGUUGCUGCCAUCGUCUUUCAGCUUAGUUUUCUCUAGGAACGCGUUGAAGUUGAGGACUACGUUGGCCGUUUGAUCUACAAGACAUAUUGCAAAGAUUUUAGACUAAGUUCAUGAUAAUUAAGUUCAACUAAUCAAAUUAUUAGUGAACUCCCACUUAGAUUAGACAUCCCUCUAGUCAUCUAAGUAUUACAUGAUCCGAGUUAAACUAGACCGUGUCCGAUCAUCACGUGAGACGGACUAGUCAACAUCGGUGAACAUCUUCAUGUUGAUCGUAUCUUCUAUACGACUCAUGCUCGACCUUUCGGUCUUCUGUGUUCCGAGGCGAUGUCUAUACAUGCUAGGCUCAUCAAGUCAACCUAAGUGUUUGCAUGUGUAAAUCUGUCUUACACCCGUUGUAUGUGAACGUCUGAAUAAAACACCCGAUCAUCACGUGGUGUUUUGAAACAGCGAACUGUCGCAACGGCGCACAGUUAGGGGGAACACUUCUUGAAUUUAUUGUGAGGGAUCAUCUUAUUUACUACCGUCGUUCUAAGUAAACAAGAUGCAAAACAUGAUAAACAUCACAUGCAAUCAAAUAAUAAACGUGACAUGAUAUGGCCAAUAUCACAUAGCUCCUUUGAUCUCCAUCUUGGGGCUCCAUGAUCAUCUUGUCACCGGCUUGACACCAUGAUCUCCAUCAUCAUGAUCUCCAUCAUCGUGUCUCCAUGAAGUUGCUCGCCAACUAUUACUUCUACUACUAUGGCUAACGCGUUUAGCAAUAAAGUAAAGUAAUUUACAUGGCGUUUCUUGAUGACACGCAGGUCAUUAAAAGAAUAAAGACAACUCCUAUGGCUCCUGCCGGUUGUCAUACUCAUCGACAUGCAAGUCGUGAAUCCUAUUACAAUAGCAUGAACAUCUCAUACAUCACAUAUAGAUCAUUCAUCAUUCAUCACAACUUUGGCCAUAUCAUAUCACAAACCACUUGCUGCAAAAACAAGUUAGACGUCCUCUAAUUGUUGUUGCAAGUUUUACGUGGCUGAAUUAGGGUUCUAGCAAGAAUGUUUUCUUACCUACGUUAAAGCCACAACAUGAUUUGUCAACUUCUAUUUACCCUUCAUAAGGACCCUGUUCAUCGAUUCCGCUCCAACUAAAGUAGGAGAGACAGACACCCGCCAGCCACCUUAUGCAACUAGUGCAUGUUAGUCGGUGGAACCGGUCUCACGUAAGCGUACGUGUAAGGUUGGUCCAGGCCGCUUCAUCCCACAAUACCGCUGAAGCAAGAAAGGACUAGUAACGGCAAGAAAGUUGACAAAUCUACGCCCACAACAAAUUGUGUUCUACUCGCGCAAGAAGAACUACGCAUAGACCUAGCUCAUGAUGCCACUGUUGGGGAACGUUGCAGAAAACAAAAAUUUUCCUACUCGUUUCACCAAGAUCAUCUAGGAGUUCAUCUAGCAACGAGUGAUUAGAUGCAUCUACAUACCUUUGUAGAUCGCGAGCGGAAGCGUUCAAAAGAACGGUGAUGAUGUAGUCGUACUCGACGUGAUCCAAAUCACCGAUGACCAGCGCCGAACGGACGGCACCUGCGCGUUCAACACACGUAUGGAACAGCCACGUCUCCUCCUUCUUGAUCCAGCAAGGGAGGGAGGAGAGGUUGAGGGAGAUGGCACCAGCAGCAGCACGACGGCGUGGUGUUGAUGGAGCUGCAGUACUCCGGCAGAGCUUCGCUAAGCACUAUGGAGGUGGAGGAGGUGUUGGGAGGGAGAAGGAGGCAACCAAAGGCCAAGGCGUUCAGGUAUGAAGUCCCUCCUCUCCCCCACUAUAUAUAGGAGGGCCAAGGGGGGGUGGCCGGCCCUAGGAGAUCCAAUCUCCUAGGGGGUGCGGCGGCCAAGGGGGGUUUCCCUCCCCCCCAAGGCACCUAGGAGGUGCCAUCCCCUCCUAGGACUCUUUCCCCCUUAAACCCUAGGCGCAUGGGCCUAUGUGGGGCUGGUGCCCUUGGCCCAUGUAGGCCAAGGCGCACCCCCUACAGCCCAUGUGGCCCCCCGGGACAGGUGGACCCACUCGAUGGACCCCCGGGACCCUUCCGGUGGUCCCGGUACAAUACCGAUAACCCCGAAACUUGUCCUGAUGCCCGAAACAGGACUUCCCAUAUAUAAAUCUUUACCUCCGGACCAUUCCGGAACUCCUCGUGACGUCCGGGAUCUCAUCCGGGACUCCGAACAAUAUUCGGGUUACUGCAUAUACAUAUCCCUACAACCCUAGCGUAACUGAACCUUAAGUGUGUAGACCCUACGGGUUCGGGAGACAAGCAGACAUGACCGAGACGACUCUCCGGUCAAUAACCAACAGCGGGAUCUGGAUACCCAUGUUGGAUCCCACAUGCUCCACGAUGAUCUCAUCGGAUGAACCACGAUGUCGAGGAUUCUAUCAACCCCGUACGCUAUUCCCUUUGUCUAUCGAUAUGUUACUUGCCCGAGAUUCGAUCGUCGGUAUCCCAAUACCUCGUUCAAUCUCGUUACCGGCAAGUCACUUUACUCGUACCGUAAUGCAUGAUCCCGUGACCAGACACUUGGUCACUCUGAGCUCAUUAUGAUGAUGCAUUACCGAGUGGGCCCAGUGAUACCUCUCCGUCAUACGGAGUGACAAAUCCCAGUCUUGAUCCAUGUCACCCAACAGACACUUUCGGAGAUACCCGUAGUCUACCUUUAUAGUCACCCAGUUACGUUGUGACGUUUGGCAUACCCAAAGCACUCUUACGGUAUCCGGGAGUUACACGAUCUCAUGGUCUAAGGAAAAGAUACUUGACAUUGGAAAACUCUAGCAAACGAACUAUACGAUCUUGUGCUAUGUUUAGGAUUGGGUCUUGUCCAUCACAUCAUUCUCCUAAUGAUGUGAUCUCGUUAUCAAUGACAUCCAGUGUCCAUAGUCAGGAAACCAUGACUACCUGUUGAUCAACGAGCUAGUCAACUAGAGGCUCACUAGGGACAUGUUGAUGUCUGUUAUUCACACAUGUAUUACGAUUUCCGGAUAACACAAUUAUAGCAUGAAUAAAGACAAUUAUCAUGAACAAGGAAAUAUAAUAAUAAUGCUUUUAUUAUUGCCUCUAGGGCAUAUUUCCAACACUAGUGUCGAGUGACCGUGUUAGGCUAUAGACUAGGUUUUUCUUCUUUUUCUAUUUUGUGCCAUAUAUUUGUGAUAUAUCUCUAACUCCUAACCCUUGUUCCAGAUUAUUUCCUCUUUGUUUUCUUUUCCUUUUUGCAGGUUAGAACCAUCUUGUCGGAUAUGGCUUACUAUUCAGAUCAUCAUGCUUAUGCGAGCAACACUACAAACAGCACAGAAAGUAUUCAAGAACUGAUAUGUAAGAUUUCCCAUCAAUUAGAUGAUUUAGCUCGCCAGUGAGAGGUAGUUUUCGAGGAUAGGCCUAGCUCUUAUGAUCCUUAUUAUAGAGGUCAUCCUUAUGUUGCUCCUACAUGCCAUAUUUGUGGAUUUCAGGGCCAUUCACCCGCUGAAUGUGAGCGUGGUUACUCUCACCCUCCCGAUUGUUAUGGCAUGAGCUUCGCCCCACAGCCUAGCUCAUACCAAAACAAUUGCACACAUGGGUGGCCUGAAAACUAGAAUAUGUCAUAUAGGAGCAAUAACCCUGAGAUCUCAUCGUUUGCCUCUAGUUAUCCAAUGCAGGGAUUUAGGUAUGAAGAGGAGAGCCACAACUAUGCUCCACAGCAGAGUUAUUCAGCUCCUACUCAUAUACCUCAACACCAGGACAUGUUGCCAAUGGAGUUAAAUGGUCCUCCAUUUGGUCAACCAACAUCUUCAACACAAGUGCCCACACAAGAUGACUUUGAUGAUAUAGGCAAGCUCACAUUGCUUGGUCUCGAGUUCACUUGGAGUGUCGAAGAUGAUCCAAUUAGGCCGGUGAUACUAGAGGAAAUGAAGAAGAUUAAGAGUGGAAAGGAGCUAGUGGAAGAAGUAAGGAAGAUUGAGAAGAACAUCAACGCUGGCAGUACUAUAUCAUCACAGUUUGAGUUGAGUGUGGCUGAGAUAUCCAUUGAUACAUGUGAGGUUCCAACACCUUCACAUUCAGCUGAGCAAGAUAGCGAGAGUCCAGAGGAAGAGAUACUUCAGAUCCAAGAAGAAAUUCUCGAAGCCAAGGCACAAGAUGAUCCAGAGCUCGAACAACAAAGUGAACAAGUUGAGGAUCCAAUGUCUACCACUCCCGAAGAAGUAAAAGAAGAUGCUGUAGAUGAAGAUGAAGAACCUGAGAUUCAUUUGCCUAUUGUCAUACCAGAGCAUGAUGUGUCAGGUUUAUCUAAUCCUCUUAAUGACAUGUCUUCAUAUGAUUUAUUUGCUUCUACCUUGCAUUACAUGAUGCCAUCACUUAAGAUUGAUUUGAAAAAUCAUUUACUUGGAUAUGAUGAUACAUACACUGUUGGUGGCAUUGCUCUCAUUUGUGAUGAUCACAGUUACUUUCCUCAUGCUAGUCUUGAGCUUAAUGAUAAAUGUCAUCCUCGUGUGAGUAUUGACCAUGCUGAUUUCUGCCAUCCUAAACAUGUGCUUUAUAGUUAUGCUUAUAUAAUUGGAUAUUCCAUUGAUGACUUGGAGGGAAUCGACUGUAUCACUUGUAGUUGUUUGUGUGAGUCCUUUUUCAGGUUCUUGCUUGUGCACGAAUCACUACAUGCUGACCAAGUUCGAGAUGACAUUCCUUGGGACCCCGGUGGGCCCAUGGCAUGGGGAUGAGGAGAAGCAAGGAGCACACACGAGGAAGGGAGAAGCUGGAGCAGGCAUGAGGAUAGAGAAGCAAAAGGAGAGGAGCUGCAGUUGGUGAGGUGAUCGAGCAAGUGCUACAUGAUCAAAGCCCGGUGAGAUGUUUCAUGACCCAUUCUGAAUGUCAUAAAUACAUGCUGAAUUCAAUUGCUAGUUGGGUUGCUUGAGCUAGUUAUUACUUGUUGUCAAGCUGAAAUUCACCUUCGGCAUUGUGCUUGAUGUGAAUUUGUGAACUUGAUUUCUGAAUGCCUUGUAAACUAGUGAUCUACACCAUGCAUGCUUUGCUGAAAUUUGUGGAAGUUAUUAGUUUUGAGUGCUCAAAUCCCUAGUACACUAGAAAACUUGAUCAUUUUCUGCUUUUACCUUGAUACACCUAGAUCACCAUGUUUAUAUGCUGAAUUUGUGCUAAGUGUGUUCCCAUUGAGAGCAAUCACCUAACCACUAUGGAUUAGCAUGUUAUGUUCCCUGGAUCGGUAGCAUGUGAACCAGACAUGGAGAAGUGAUGAUUCAUGUUUUUGUGCUUAUGCGUUGUCCAUUUAAGAUAAAUAAUAAUGAAUAAAUAAGUCUGGCUACCUAUAGUAGCAUGUCAUGUUCCCGGGAUCGGUGGCAUGUGAAAUCGGGUUAGCUUGGGCAAUAAUUAAUAAUAAUAAAAAUGUAAUUGUCGAACCAGGUGUAUACCAUGUUCUCGGGAUCGGUGGUAUGUUCCUUUGGGGAGACAAACAAUUUUUUUUAAUAAAAAUUGGUUGAGCCAGGUGUAUACCAUGUUCUCGGGAUUGGUGGUAUGUUCCUUCGGUGAGACUAAUAAAAUAAUAUGUGUGUUUCUUUCAAAUUCAAUAAGUGGUUCAACCACAAAGUCAUAUUUCUGCAAAUAAGAGAUUUAAUUCUAGUUCUUUUUGUUCUCGGGAUCAUGCUCUCUUUAGGAACCAUUUGGCGCAGUCAUCAUUUAAACUCGUUGAUCCUCUUUUAUCACUGUAAAAGUUUAAAAUGGUCAUGCUUACUAGUAUCCUACUGCUUUGUAGCACUCCUAACCAUUAAUUUUCACUAGCUAAGUCUGAAGCAUGCCUUGUUUGGAGAUCUAUUUUACCAGGACAUUCCUUACUCAGUUUACUGUUCAUUAUCUUGCCUUUGUCAUAUUCCUUUGCUUGAGGACAAGCAAAGAUUUAAGUGUGGGGGAACUUGAUAAGUGCAUUUCAUAUAUAUAAUUUGGCACUCAAAUUUAGCAUCUAUCGUGAUAUAUCCAUCCAUUCUUACUAUGAACUGUGAUAUAUUUGGAUGAAAAUCAUAUAAAAGAUCAUUUACUACUCAGUGGUUUGUUUUGCAGAAAAGUGCGAGAAGGCACUAUAAAUCUUCAUGAUUCCGACAUUGAGGAUAACUAUAAGAGUUAAGGGCAGGAAAGAAGAAGAGGAACAAUACAAGGAGCUAGAAGAGAUGAAGAAAGGACUUGGGUGAGAAGAAACGAAGUAAGCAGAGGGGCAAGUUAAAGGAGAGAGGGACCUUCUUGUGAAGGAAGAAGAAAAGGAGAAGGGCCAAUGUGCAAAUGGGCAGAUCUGAUCGGAGGGGAACAAAAUCCCUAGCGGCAUCCUUCUUUCUCCUUGGGCCUGGCAUCUCAUCUCACUCCUUCUCCCCUUCUUCUCCACCACCAGCCGCCGCCACAGCCAGGCCGGCGUGGUGGUGCACCUCCGCGCGCCACCAGCACCUCCACCAUCACCCUGCGCUUCCCAUCAAUCCAUCAUCCAACCCGCCAGCACCAACAUCCACCACGCACCACCACAUCCAACCACACCAUCCAUCGGCGCCGCCAGCCACAACCAUCUCCUUCCACCCAGCGCCAGCAACCUCCAUCCACCAGUGCAACCGCGCCUCCUCUCCCUGCUGCUUCCCCUUGCUACUCACGCCUCCUCUCCCUGCUGCUUCCCCUUCCUACUCAUGCCCUGGACCAGACAAGGGGAUCAUGGAGUCUGAUCCCUAGCGAACUUCCCUACUACUGCUCCUUUAUCUUCAACCUGCUGCUGCUCUUCUUUCCCCACGCCUCCGCUGCUCCUUCUCCAUCUCCGUGCUGCUGCUCUCUUCUUUCCUCACGCCUCUGCU